rnacentral:rRNA from 1 species
UACGUAGGGUACAAGCGUUGUCCGGAAUUAUUGGGCGUAAAGAGCUCGUAGGCGGUCUGUCGCGUCUGCUGUGAAAACUCAGGGCUUAACCCGGAGCUUGCAGUGGGUACGGGCAGACUAGAGUGCGGUAGGGGAGACUGGAAUUCCUGGUGUAGCGGUGAAAUGCGCAGAUAUCAGGAGGAACACCGGUGGCGAAGGCGGGUCUCUGGACAGUUCCUGACGCUGAGGCACGAAGGUCAGGGGAGCAAACGGG